rnacentral:rRNA from 1 species
UACGUAGGGGGCAAGCGUUGUCCGGAUUUAUUGGGCGUAAAGAGCGUGUAGGCGGCUUUGCAAGUCCGUUGUGAAAACUCGAGGCUCAACCUCGAGACGCCGGUGGAAACUGCAAAGCUAGAGUCCGGAAGAGGAGAGUGGAAUUCCUGGUGUAGCGGUGAAAUGCGCAGAUAUCAGGAAGAACACCCGUGGCUAAGGCGGCUCUCUAGUACGGUACUGACGCUGAGACGCGAAAGCGUGGGGAGCGAUCCGG